GGUUCUGUUGCACAUCCCUGCUGCUCAAGAAGAGGGCGUGUUUCUACUGCAGCCUGCAAGCUCAAAGUUGUCUUCUUCUUGCACCGAAAUCCAUCUGCUGGACAAACCCCCCUUUCUGAAAUGUCUCCUCUGAGAUGAUACCUUAGACAGGCCUAUUAGAGCCCUCCUCAGUCUGAGGAUCACCUUCCAUCCUGCAUGAGAUGUUGCCACUCUGCAGCAAUUGCAUCUUAAAUACCGUUCAAUGGUUGCAUGAAAUGAACACCACAAAGUGCAUCUGCUGUUUUUCUUAUCGCAGGACAGAUUUAAACAGUGCAGAGACACAGCCUUACUAUUAUAGCUCAUUUAUUCAUAGCUUCAUUAGGAUUCAUGCCUUCCAGAAUUAUUCCACAUUUGAUCACAUUUCAACCAACAACCAAAGAUUAUUUCACUGGUUUCAAUGUUUUUUUUUUUUGUUUUUUUUUUGAAAGACCAGCACAAAACAUCAUCAUCGAAAAGGAAAGCAUACCUGGUUUUACUAAACUGACAGGCUGGGCAAACAGAGCAUUAAUCAGAGAAGCAGCCGAGAGGCCCUUAGUAACUCUGGAGGAGCUGUAGAGAUCCACAGCUCAGAACUUAGUCGUGGAGACUGUUAGAGAUUGUUAAAAGAAAGGCCUGUUUGCAGUUUGCCAACCAUAAACAUACAGCCAGAGAUACAAUGGACCAAAGAAUAUUCAUGGGUUAGAAUGGCCUAGUCAAAGUCCACUUCUAAACCUACAUCUAUAGCAAUCCAUCUUUCUCCAAUUGAUUGAGCUUGAGAUAUUUUGCAAAAGGACUGGCCAAAUCAUUCAGUCUGUAGAACUGCAAAGCUGGUAGAGAUAAACCCCAAAAGACCUGCAGCUGGAGGCGGUUCUACAAAGUUCUGGCUUAGGGAGGAUGAAUACAUACCGCUCGCAUGCUAAACGUUCUAUGUUUUUAUCUGUAAAAGAUGUUCCUUCCACUUGACAAUGAUGCUGCUUUGUGUUGGUCUGUCAUAUAAAAUGUCUCAAAGUUUGUGGCUUUAAUGAGACAGAAGGUGGGAAAUAUCAGAGGUAUCAGCUGGACCAGGGCCUGACUGCUGGUGGUUACCUCCUUAAAGCAGUUAUUACGGGGAAUGAAGGAGGAGGGAGAUGUUAUCCUGAUGGGAAACCAAACUAAACAUGAGCAUCAGGGACAUUUCAUACAUCAGACAUUUCAGGCACUCUGACUGAUUUUGAACAAAUCCAAAAGGUCCGACAGACCUCUGCUGUUUGAUACCAGCGAGUGUCUGAAGCAGGAAGACAAAGGGAUGCCUGCUGCCCGUCCAGAUUUCAUGCAGCCAGUUGACCAUGCUUGCCUGAGGUGAAACCAGUGCAGACGGAUGUGUACUGGUGUCAGUCAGACAUGGAUCACAGCAGUCAAUGGGUCACUGGUUCCUUACGAGGCCUGUCUUGUGUAAUUGUAGCCAAGCCUUUCAAGAUGAAUAACCAGCACUGUUUGAGUUUCGGGUUCAUAUGUCAGCAUAUCGGUUUAUUUAUUUUGUUUGCUGUCAAGUGACAUCAGUGUAUGGGCCACGCUGACAGAACCAGACUGUUCUACAACAACGGUUUCUCAGAACCAAAUUAAUGACAUUGUUUUAUUCACAGAGCUGAAAUGGAAGCGGUCACUAUGAAAAGCUGAAAUCCAGACGACAACACGUCCCAGCAGAGACCAAAGAGUCCAUCUCUGGGAUUUCCAGGGUCUGAUUUCAGUCUUUGUCUGACUUUCCCUGCAGCUGAGGUUUUUCUUUUACAACACGGCCACAGACUGAUUGAGCAACAGGAAUAAAGCAGCUGAACUUUGUUCAGACAUCAUCAUCGGGGACAUGCAGGCGGGGCGGGGGGAGGCAGGUCAUCCUAACAGGUAACUCAUUAAGACCCGGGUCGUGUGUACACAGGAUUUAUGUCCUCUAUGUUUUCAGCAGAGGCUGUCCCUUUGUGCAGAGACAACACAUUCUGUGAGAGCGAAGGGUGGAGGUGGUUUGAUACAAAGUCUGCCAGAGAGAUUCAGGUUGAUGACAUCACAGGGGGCACGGGAACUAAACUGAUCAGUGUUAGUAAACACUAUGUAGGAUUAAUAACCUUUGACACAUUUAAACUUUGAUUCUGAUGCAGAGUUUGAGUCCGAUGAACCUCCACAUGGAUACUGCUAUGGGUCCUGAAAAUUAACCUAACAGUGAUUAGGACAAUGAUUGUCUACAGAACUUUAACUGGUACAAAUUGGUCCGGUUGUCAUAAUUUGAGGGAGUUUGAGGUUUUGUUUUUGGUAUUUCUCUCAUUCUGAUUAUGUUCUCCAAGCUGUGUUUUGGACUUUGUUCAUGAUUGCUUAUGUUUUCCAUGUGGUCCUUCAGGUCAUUUCUUUAAGUUUAGUUUCUUGUUCUGAUUAUGGUGCAUUCUAGUUCUGUUACUUUAACAUUUAUGCUUUGGUUUCAUUGUCCUUGCCCCUUUGCUUAGACCAUUUAUGUUUUGUUUUCACUCUGCACCUUGCUAAUCAGUCUCCUAGCUUCACCUGUGCCGUGCCUCAUAUAUACUCCUCUGUUCUGGUUCUCCUUGCUGGUUUAUUAUGUUCUGUUCAGCUGUCCAUGCCAGAACUGUUUUUGCCAAGCCAGUUUCAUGUCCACCUGCCUGCCUGUAGGUUUUGUUUUGUUAUUAAACCUUUUUAUUUUUA